rnacentral:lncRNA from 1 species
UCCUAAAAAUUCUAAUAGAUUUUUAAACAAAUUAUAAUUAAAGUUUAAUAAAUAUAAUCAAACAUCAAUCAAAAUUUUAAAAGAAUUAUAUAAAAUAUAAAAAAUAUUCCUACAAAUCUUUUAAAGAAAUAUAAAGAAAUAACAUAGAAAUUCAAAAAUAUAUUAAAAUAGAAAUCUUAAUAAAAUAUUAAAAUAUAAACCUUAAUUAAAUUCUAGUCAAAAUUUAAUCAAAUUCUAGUCAAAUCCUAAUCAAAUCUUAAAUAAAUCCUAACCAAAUCCUAAAUAAACCUUAAUCAAGUACUAAACAAAGUCUAAUCAAAUCCUAAACAAAUCCUAACCAAAUCUUAAACAAAUUCUAAUCAAAUCUUAAACAAAUCCUAAAUAAAUCCUAAAUAAAUCCUAAAAAAAUCUUAACCAAAUCUUAGUCAAAUCCUAACCAAAUUCUAACCAAAUCUUAAAUAAUAUCUAAACAAAACCUAAUCAAUUCCUAAACAUAUCCUAAUGAAACCCUAAAUAAUUCCAAGUAAUUUCUACAAUAGAUUUAAACCUGAAUAACUAAUAAAUGAACCUUUGAUUUUAACUCAAAAUUUGCACACUUCUUAACAAUUAAGUUGAAAAUAAGCAAUUUUUUUUUUGAAGAAGAUCAAAUUCACCAAAAAAAAGAUCAACUCUAAUAUUUGCUUAGAUAUUAGCCGGCCUCCUCUUCUAAUCUAAAUGUUGAAUUUCUAACCCCAAUAUCUCUUUAUUAAUCCUUCAAUUGAUCUCAAAUUUCUCACGUACAUAAGAAAAUAAGUCUACUAUUUAUAUAAAUAAUUUUUAUUCCAAUUAAAUUGAUAGAUUGCAAGAAAUCUUAGAAACCCUCACUCAACCUAAAACUCUACUUUUUGAGAUCUCAAACCACUUAAACCUGAAUACCUCUCAAUCCAACCUCUUGGAUCAAGCUCAAACUCACAGCAUAUAUUGAACAUAUAUAAACCCACAAACCUUCAAAAUUUCACCUAUGGAUCUAUUACCAAACUUAUAAAAUUCUCCAAAAGAUAUCUUCUUUUUUUAUUUCAUAAAUCCAGAGUUACC